GAUAUUAAGGUGAUAUAUCUAAACUUUGCUGAAUUUUGAAGAAACUCGCUGCAAAUCAUUACUUAUUUAGGUGAUAUAUCUAAAGUUACAGAAUUUUGAAACUUGCACCGACGAUUUUUCUACACACGCACCAACUAUUCUGUGAUUUUUCAUGGACUGAAGAUAGAAUACGCACCAAACUAAUAUUAAGUCUGGUACAGAAAUUCUCUAUUCUUGAACUGACAAUAUUUCUUCUAUGUGGAAUACACAAGAUCUCCUCAAUUGGCCAUGAUGCAGGCAUCGCCACAGGCAAUACUUGGCGCACCGGAGAACCUGUACUGUUGGAUUUGUCGAGAGAGGACUGAGGGAACACGCCAGCGUUAGGGUGGCGGAUGCAAGUAUUGGAGUUCAGCCUAAAAUCACAAGAGAAUGGAUCAAAAUGAAUUCAGGUUGAUUUCUAAUCAUUUAUCAAGCUAUAAAAGUUAGAACUGAUGUUACACAAACCGAGGCAUUUUUUAUAUGAACAGCUCACGUACUAUGUAUAGUACCACUAUUUUUUUCAUUCUCAUGAACAAAUAACCAUAGACUAACGAGAGAAUGUAUUACUCGAUAGUAGGCAUUUUCUUCUCAGAACCACUUUGGUUUUCUUUUCUUUUUCUUCACUUUUUGCUGCUUGGUUUUUUCUUUGCUUUAUGAAGUGCCCCAUCAGAAAAGUUGAACUUUAGAUUUUACCAAUCUCCACAUCUACUGAAACAAGGGAG
rnacentral:lncRNA from 1 species